UACGGAGGGGGCGAGCGUUGUUCGGAAUCACUGGGUGUAAAGGGUGCGUAGGUGGUCGGGUAAGUCUGAUGUGAAAUCUCUGGGCUCAACCCAGAAAUGGCAUUGGAUACUAUUCGGCUAGAGGAGUGGAGGGGGGACUGGAAUACUUGGUGUAGCAGUGAAAUGCGUAGAUAUCAAGUGGAACACCAGUGGCGAAGGCGAGUCCCUGGACACUUCCUGACACUGAGGCACGAAAGCUAGGGGAGCAAACAGG
rnacentral:rRNA from 1 species